rnacentral:rRNA from 1 species
AGUGAACGCUGGCGGUAGGCCUAACACAUGCAAGUCGAACGGCAGCACAGUAAGAGCUUGCUCUUACGGGUGGCGAGUGGCGGACGUGUGAGGAAUACAUCGGAAUCUACUUUUUCGUGGGGGAUAACGUAGGGAAACUUACGCUAAUACCGCAUACGACCUACGGGUGAAAGCAGUGGAUCUUCGGACCUUGCGCGAUUGAAUGAGCCGAUGUCGGAUUAGCUAGUUGGCGGGGUAAAGGCCCACCAAGUCGACGAUCCGUAGCUGGCCUGAGAGGAUGAUCAGCCACACUGGAACUGAGACACAGUCCAGACUCCUACGGGAGGCAGCAGUGGGGAAUAGUGGACAAUGGGCGCAAGCCUGAUCCAGCCAUACCGCGUGGGUGAAGAAGGCCUUCGGGUUGUAAAGCCCUUUUGUUGGGAAAGAAAAGCAGCAGGUUAAUACCCCGCUGUCCUGACGGUACCCAAAGAAUAAGCACCGGCUAACUUCGUG